rnacentral:rRNA from 1 species
ACGUAGGUGGCGAGCGUUGUCCGGAAUUAUUGGGCGUAAAGCGCGCGUAGGCGGGAUAUUAAGUCUCAUUUAAAAGUGCGGGGCUCAACCCCGUGAUGGGUGAGAAACUAAUAUUCUUGAGUGCCGGAGAGGAAAGCGGAAUUCCCAGUGUAGCGGUGAAAUGCGUAGAUAUUGGGAGGAACACCAGUGGCGAAGGCGGCUUUCUGGACGGUGUCUGACGCUGAGGCGCGAAAGCCAGGGGAGCGAACGG